AAGUCGUAACAAGGUUUCCGUAGGUGAACCUGCGGAAGGAUCAUUAAAAGAAUCUGCCUCACCCACAGAUAUCUUAUCACGUGUGAACUGUCUAGCUUGUCACCCAAGAUGGACACCUCAGAGAUCUCGGUCUUUGGGGGGUCUGUCUUGGGGGGCAGCUUAUGCUACUGAUUGUGCCCCGAGAAUCUUUAAAAGACUAUAAAACUUUUAGCAAUGGAUCUCUAGGCUCCU
rnacentral:misc_RNA from 1 species